rnacentral:rRNA from 1 species
UACAGAGGGUGCGAGCGUUAAUCGGAAUUACUGGGCGUAAAGGGUGCGUAGGUGGCGACAUAAGUCAGGUGUGAAAUCCCCGAGCUUAACUUGGGAAUUGCGCUUGAGACUGUAUUGCUAGAGUGUUGUAGAGGAAAGUGGAAUUUCCGGUGUAGCGGUGAAAUGCGUAGAUAUCGGAAGGAACACCAGUGGCGAAGGCGGCUUUCUGGACAGACACUGACACUGAGGCACGAAAGCGUGGGUAGCAAACAGG